AGAGAUAGAGGAUGCGCGAAUUAUCAGUAACACAGAGGAUGCAGCAGAGGCAGAGGAUGAUGUGUGAAAGGAAUAGCGCCGAAAGCUUUUGAUGCUGCAAUCACUAGCUUGGGAGCAGGGUGAAUAAUUCUGUUACUGUCAUCGCAAGAUGGAGGGCUAUCAGU
rnacentral:ncRNA from 1 species